UGCCCCAUGGCUGAGUUGGUUACAGCGUCCGACUGUUAAGGUGGUUGUGUCGACAAAGGUUCACGCCUGCGUUGCUUAUGUAACCUCAUUACUAUAAUCGGAAGGUCCUGAGUUCGACCCUCAGUGGGGCAG